UUAAGAAUAUUUUAUUAAAAUAUAAAUUAUUUUUACAUUAUGAUUCAGAAUAAAUUUUUAAGUAUAUAUAGUAUAAAUAAUAUAAAUUUGAAUUCAUAAACUAAAGAUUAUGACAAAUGAUAAAACAAGAACUACAACCAAUGUGGUGUAUCGUGAGGUUAAAUCCGAUUAAUCCCGGUUUAUACGAAUACGAAAGAACAAUACUUAAACUCGUCGGUUGAUAUCGGAAUCACCUUAGGAUGAUACCCGCCUGGACUGAUCAAUAUUAAAGAUGCCGGGAUAGAUAAACGAUAAUUGAUGUCCUCGUUGAAGAGAUAAGGCAACAGUUGUCUCCAUGGAUAAAUGUGAGAAGGCCUGGCACUCCCGUUUAUCUGGGCAUUUUUAGCCACACUAAACUCUUUCUUCCUAGGCACUUGUUGGCAGAGUGAUUGUUUUACGAAUAAUAACAUAUUGAUAAUAUCGACCUAGUUAUAACAUCCUUCAUCAGCCUUUCAUCUAAACAGAUUAACUAAUCCCCACGCAUCUCAUGUAAAACCCUUCCUUUAUUAAGGCCAUACAGUUGUGGAAAACUCGGUUCAAUCAAAACUGAUUUUCAGUAGUCCACAAUCAAUAGACAGAAGGAUUGGGAUCUGCCUGUAGUAUGUCGCUGCGUCAAAACGCUCUUAUCCAGUUUGCAAUCUACCGACAGCAUCCUAUUCACUUCCUCGAUCAAUGCACUGGACCUCAUGCAUUUCA